rnacentral:rRNA from 1 species
UGGGGAAUAUUGGGCAAUGGAGGAAACUCUGACCCAGCAAUGCCGCGUGAAUGAAGAAGGUCUUUUGAUUGUAAAGUUCUUUAGUUUCGAAGGAAGAAAGUGACUUAGAAAAGAAUAAGCCCCGGCUAAAUACGUGCCAGCAGCCGCGGUAAUACGUAUGGGGCAAGCGUUAUCCGGAAUGACUGGGUGUAAAGGGUGUGUAGGUGGUUUAGUAAGUUGGAAGUGAAAUACCUAGGGCUUAACCCAGGUGCUGCUUUCAAAACUGCUAGACUUGAGUGUAGGAGAGGAAAGUGGAAUUCCUAGUGUAGCGGUGGAAUGCGUAGAUAUUAGGAGGAACAUCAGAGGCGAAGGCGACUUUCUGGACUAUAACUGACACUGAGGCACGAAAGUGUGGGGAGCAAACA